AGAGUUUGAUCCUGGCUCAGAACGAACGCUGGCGGCGCGCCUAAUACAUGCAAGUCGAGCGAGAAGACGUAGCGAUACGUUUGUAAAGCGGCGAACGGGUGAGGAAUACAUGGGUAACCUACCCUCGAGUGGGGAAUAACUAGCCGAAAGGUUAGCUAAUACCGCAUACGACUCUUGGUCUGCGGAUUGGGAGAGAAAGCGAUACCGUGGGUAUCGCGCUCUUGGAUGGGCUCAUGUCCUAUCAGCUUGUUGGUGAGGUAACGGCUCACCAAGGCUUCGACGGGUAGCUGGUCUGAGAGGACGAUCAGCCACACUGGCACUGCGACACGGGCCAGACUCCUACGGGAGGCAGCAGUAAGGAAUAUUGCGCAAUGGGCGACAGCCUGACGCAGCGACGCCGCGUGGGGGAUGAAGGUCUUCGGAUUGUAAACCCCUUUCGGCAGGGAAGAUGGAACGGGUAACCGUUCGGACGGUACCUGCAGAAGCAGCCACGGCUAACUUCGUGCCAGCAGCCGCGGUAAUACGAAGGUGGCAAGCGUUGUUCGGAUUUACUGGGCGUACAGGGAGCGUAGGCGGUUGGGUAAGCCCUUCGUGAAAUCUCCGGGCCUAACCCGGAAAGUGCGGAGGGGACUGCUCGGCUAGAGGAUGGGAGAGGAGCGCGGAAUUCCCGGUGUAGCGGUGAAAUGCGUAGAGAUCGGGAGGAAGGCCGGUGGCGAAGGCGGCGCUCUGGAACAUUUCUGACGCUGAGGCUCGAAAGCGUGGGGAGCAAACAGGAUUAGAUACCCUGGUAGUCCACGCCUUAAACGAUGGAUACUAAGUGUCGGCAGGUUACCGCCGGUGCCGCAGCUAACGCAGUAAGUAUCCCGCCC
rnacentral:rRNA from 1 species